rnacentral:rRNA from 1 species
CCUACGGGUGGCAGCAGUCGAGAAUCAUUCACAAUGGGGGAAACCCUGAUGGUGCGACGCCGCGUGGGGGAAUGAAGGUCUUCGGAUUGUAAACCCCUGUCAUGUGGGAGCAAAUUAAAAAGAUAGUACCACAAGAGGAAGAGACGGCUAACUCUGUGCCAGCAGCCGCGGUAAUACAGAGGUCUCAAGCGUUGUUCGGAAUCACUGGGCGGAAAGCGUGCGUAGGCUGUUUCGUAAGUCGUGUGUGAAAGGCGCGGGCUCAACCCGCGGGCGGCACAUGAUACUGCGAGAAUAGAGUAAUGGAGGGGGAACCGGAAUGCUCGGUGUAGCAGUGAAAUGCGUAGAUAUCGAGAGGAACACUCGUGGCGAAGGCGGGUUCCUGGACAUUAACUGACGCUGAGGCACGAAGGCCAGGGGAGCGAAAGGGAUUAGAUACCCUUGUAGUC